rnacentral:rRNA from 1 species
UGGACAAUGGUAGGAGAGCGUUCUAAGGGCGUUGAAGCAUGAUCGUAAGGACAUGUGGAGCGCUUAGAAGUGAGAAUGCCGGUGUGAGUAGCGAAAGAUGGGUGAGAAUCCCGUCCACCGAUUGACUAAGGUUUCCAGAGGAAGGCUCGUCCGCUCUGGGUUAGUCGGGUCCUAAGCUGAGGCCGACAGGCGUAGGCGAUGGAUAACAGGUUGAUAUUCCUGUACCACCUAUAAUCGUUUUAAUCGAUGGGGGGACGCAGUAGGAUAGGCGAAGCGUGCGAUUGGAUUGCACGUCUAAGCAGUAAGGCUGAGUAUUAGGCAAAUCCGGUACUCGUUAAGGCUGAGCUGUGAUGGGGAGAAGACAUUGUGUCUUCGAGUCGUUGAUUUCACACUGCCGAGAAAAGCCUCUAGAUAGAAAAUAGGUGCCCGUACCGCAAACCGACACAGGUAGUCAAGAUGAGAAUUCUAAGGUGAGCGAGCGAACUCUCGUUAAGGAACUCGGCAAAAUGACCCCGUAACUUCGGGAGAAGGGGUGCUCUUUAGGGUUAACGCCCAGAAGAGCCGCAGUGAAUAGGCCCAAGCGACUGUUUAUCAAAAACACAGGUCUCUGCUAAACCGUAAGGUGAUGUAUAGGGGCUGACGCCUGCCCGGUGCUGGAAGGUUAAGAGGAGUGGUUAGCUUCUGCGAAGCUACGAAUCGAAGCCCCAGUAAACGGCGGCCGUAACUAUAACGGUCCUAAGGUAGCGAAAUUCCUUGUCGGGUAAGUUCCGACCCGCACGAAAGGCGUAACGAUUUGGGCACUGUCUCAACGAGAGACUCGGUGAAAUCAUAGUACCUGUGAAGAUGCAGGUUACCCGCGACAGGACGGAAAGACCCCGUGGAGCUUUACUGUAGCCUGAUAUUGAAAUUCGGCACAGCUUGUACAGGAUAGGUA